GACGAACGCUGGCGGCGUGCCUAAUACAUGCAAGUCGAGCGAGACUCUUCGGAGUCUAGCGGCGGACGGGUGAGUAACACGUGGGCAACCUGCCUGUAAGACUGGGAUAACACCGGGAAACCGGUGCUAAUACCGGAUAAUCCUUUUCCUCUCAUGUGGAAAAGCUGAAAGUCGGUUUCGGCUGACACUUACAGAUGGGCCCGCGGCGCAUUAGCUAGUUGGUGAGGUAACGGCUCACCAAGGCGACGAUGCGUAGCCGACCUGAGAGGGUGAUCGGCCACACUGGGACUGAGACACGGCCCAGACUCCUACGGGAGGCAGCAGUAGGGAAUCUUCCACAAUGGACGAAAGUCUGAUGGAGCAACGCCGCGUGAGCGAUGAAGGCCUUCGGGUCGUAAAGCUCUGUUGUUAGGGAAGAACAAGUACCGGAGUAACUGCCGGUACCUUGACGGUACCUAACCAGAAAGCCACGGCUAACUACGUGCCAGCCGCCGCGGUAAAAC
rnacentral:rRNA from 1 species